rnacentral:lncRNA from 1 species
AGAGACUGGUUGGGAAGGGGGUGCACAGAGAGCAAGAGAACCACCAAUUUAUUUAUUUAUGGCCGUGUUGGGUCUUUAUUGCUGUGUGCUGUGUGAGCUUUUCUCUAGUUGUAGCAAGUGGGGACCACUCCAUAGUUGCGGUGUUUGGACUUCUCAUUGCUGUGGCUUCUCUUGUGGCAGAGCACUGGCUCUAGGGUGCACAGGCUUCAGUAGCUGUGGCCCCUGGGCUCUAAAGCAUGGUUGUGGUGGAUGGGCUUAUUUGCUCUGAGGCAUGUAGGAUCUUCCAGGAUCAGGGAUUGAACCUGUGUCUCCUGCGUUGGCAGGUGGAUUCUUUACCACUGAGUCACCAGAGGAGCCCUGGAACUGCCAUCUUGAUUGGCCUGACUGUACAAAUGCUUAUCACACAGUGGUGUUGAUGAGUGUUCAAGAUGUACCAGUAGGAAGACCAUGAGGAUCGGGUGACUGUGAGACGCUUGCUCACCUGGCUGUUAUAGGACAGGCACAUCCUUGAUGACAGAGAUGCUAAGGCUUUCUCCAGCCUACAGAUAUUACACAUCUGGAACUCUAGGCAUAGUUUGUACUGUCCAGCUGCAUUCCUUGAACCACUGUCAGGUCCCAACCAGACCUCCCAGCUGGCCUCAUCCUUGCAGCCAAGCACAGGAGAGGGCGGUGGAUGGAUCAUGCCCUCUGCUCUUCAGGACUAAGGCUGGACAUUUUCUGGGCUUGUCUGGUGGGCAUGAUCCCAAGGAGAGCAUAAACCAAGCUCCGCCCUUCUUGCAUUCUUUGCUCCAGGCCCUCUGAUCCAUCUAGUAUCCAGAAGGAAACUCAGCUCGCUCCAGAGCCUCCACACCUGCAUCUCCCAGCUUGGGGCUUUCUCUCCUUGCUUCUUAUAUCACCCCCACUCGGUUAGGGGAAGCACACUGAUGGAAACCGCCCACCCUGGCCAGGCACCUUAGUAACCAUUUGCAUGAGUUAUUUUAUGACAGGAGGUCCUUGUAAGGAACACGGAACUAACAUGCCACCACCAACCAGAAGAGUUUGGGAAGGGUCAAAAGGCGACACCACUGUCUGACUACCUCCCAGAAUCCUUCUCGCUGACAUCUGUCUGGGCUGAGCAAUGUGUGCGCUACUAGGAAGGACUCUCAGUCAGAAUGAUUGGCCAGAAACAACCUGGAAACUAACACCAUUGCCAUAAAACCCGAAACUUCGAGCUGCGUGGCAGAGCAGCUCUCCUGGUUUCCCUUACCCUGCUGCUCUCCUCCUGGGUGCCCUUUUCCCAGUAAAACCCCUUGCUUUGUCAACAUAUGUGUCCCUUCAGACAAUUCAUUUCUGAGUGUUAGACCAAGCCCACUUUUGGGCCCUGGAAGGGAUCCCCCUUCCUGCAAUGAUGCCACCACAUCAGGUUAACUCCUCCUUCUCGUUGGAACCAGAGGUUAAUGCUGAACCCUCUGGGAAGGCUGAGCCAGCCAGCCUGGGGCCCUGUGUUCUCAUGGCUGCCCCCGCUUCUCCCCUUCGUGUG